rnacentral:lncRNA from 1 species
UACUGGGCAAUACUGGGUUAUACUGGUUUAUAUUGGGUUAUGCCGAGCUAUACUGGUUUAUACUGGGCUCUACUGGUUUAUACUGGUUUACACUGGUGUGUUCUCCCCAGAAACAGUUGUGGGACACGCUGCCAGGGUACCAGGGUGUAGUGAUUUAUAUUGGGCUAUACUGGGUUAUACUGGUUUAUACUGGGCUCUACUGGGUUAUACUGGUUUAUAUUGGGUUCUGCCAGGCUAUACUGGUUUAUACUGGGCUCUACUGGUUUAUACUGGUUUACACUGGUGUGUUCUCCCCAGAAACGGUUGUGGGACACGCUGCCAGGGUACUGGGCUGUACUGAUUUAUACUGGGCUAUACUGGGUUUUACUGGGCUAUACUGGGUUAUACUGGUUUAUACUGGGCUCUACUGGUUUAUACUGGUUUACACUGGUGUGUUCUCCCCAGAAACAGUUGUGGGACGCGCUGCCAGGGUACCAGGGUGUACUGAUUUAUACUGGGUUAUACUGGUUUACACUGGGCUAUACUGGUUUAUACUGGGUUCUACUGGUUUAUACUGGGCUUUACUGGUUUAUACUGGGCUCUACUGGUUUAUACUGGUUUACACUGGGUUGUUCCCCCCAGAAACAGUUGUGGGACACGCUGCCAGAGUACUGGGCUGUACUGAGCUGUACUGGUUUAUACUGGGCUAUACUGGGUUAUACUGGUUUACACCGGGCUGUACUGGGUUAUACUGGGCUCUACUGGUUUAUACUGGUUUACACCGGGUUGUUCCCACCAGAAACGGUUGUGGGACACGCUGCCAGAGUACUGGGCUGUACUGAGCUGUACUGGUUUAUACUGGGCUAUACUGGGUUAUACUGGUUUACACUGGGCUCUACUGGUUUAUACUGGGCUCUACUGGUUUAUACUGGUUUACACUGGUGUGUUCUCCCCAGAAACAGUUGUGGGACACGCUGCCAGAGUACUGGGCUGUACUGAUUUAUACUGGGCUAUACUGGACUAUACUGGUUUAUACUGGUUUACACUGGGCUAUACUGAUUUACACUGGGCUAUACUGGUUUACACUGGGCUAUACUGGUUUAUACUGGUUUACACUGGGUUGCUCCCCGCAGAAACGGUUGCGGGACGCGCUGGCCGAGCCCGAGAUGAUGGUGACGGAUUUCGGCAAGGCCGAGAGGCCCUCGAUNGGGUCCUUUUUGAGAUCUCUGAGGCACCUGGAGCUGUUCUUAGGGACUCUCUGAGGAACAUUGGGGUCCUUUUUGGGGUCUCUGAGGCACCUGGAGCUGUUCUUAGGGGGUCUCUGAGGAACACUGGGGUCCUUUUUGGGGUCUCUGAGGUACCUGAGGUUCUUUAUGGGGUCCCUGAGGCACCUGAGACUUUUCUUUGGGGGUCUCUGAGGAACAUUGGGAUCCUUUUUGGGGUCCCUGAGGCACCUGGAGCUGUUCUUCGGGGGUCUCUGAGGUACAUUGGGGUUCUUUUUGGGGUCUCUGAGGCACCUGGGACCCUUCUUGGUGUGCUCCCCUCACCUGGAGCUGUUCCAGGGGAUUCUCUGAGGUACCUGGGGGUCCUUUUUGGGAUCUCUGAGGCACCUGGAGCUGUUCUUAGGGAGUCUCUGAGGAACAUUGGGGUCCUUUUUGGGGUCUCUGAGGUACCUGAGGGUACUUUUGGGGGUCUCUGAGGUACACUGGGGUUCUUUUUGGGGUCUCUGAGGCACCUGGAGCUGUUCUUAGAGAGUCUCUGAGGAACAUUGGGGUCCUUUUUGGGGUCUCUGAGGUACCUGGGAUCCUUUUUGGGAUCUCUGAGACACCUGGAGUUGCUCGGGGAGGGGAGGUCUCUGAGGCACCUGGAGCCAUUUUUGGGGUGCCCCACACACCUGGGUGCCUUUUCUGGGGUGCCCCACACAGCUGGGCCCGUUUUUGGGGGCGCCCCAGUGACACCCCCGUGUCCCCAGGGCCGUACACGUUCAGCAUCGGGGACACCAGCGGCUACGGGGACUACGUGCGAGGUGGCAUCGUCACCCAGGUCAAGAUGCCCAAGCACAUCCACUUUGUGAGUGGCACUGG